rnacentral:rRNA from 1 species
AGAAUCAACGCUGGCGGCGUGCCUAACACAUGCAAGUCGAACGAGAAAGUGGAGCAAUCCAUGAGUAAAGUGGCGACCGGGCGAGUAACACGUGACUAACCUACCUUCGAGUGGGGGAUAACCUCGGGAAACCGAGGCUAAUACCGCAUAACAUCGUGAGAUCAAAGCAGUAAUGCGCUGGAAGAGGGGGUCGCGGCUGAUUAGCUAGUUGGCGGGGUAAUGGCCCACCAAGGCGAAGAUCGGUA